GUGCGUCAAUCUGCCGGGUGUAAAUCAGUCGAUUUGGUCCUUCACCGAAAAAAACCAGUGCAGCACUUACCGACAGUCGAGAAGAAAUCCAUCCACCUCACCGACAGUCGAGCACCAACAGAACUCCACAUACAUACUGAACCAAGAGCAAACAGCUAGCAAACAUACAAUCUGGUUGGAUUUUGACAAGUGCGUGCAUGAACAAGGUUUUGAUAAGAUUCCAUUGAUGAUAGAUGUUUGUCCAGUAAACCUCUCUAUUUGGCCCAAAGUUGGCAUUAGGUGUGAUGGUGUUCGGCGACGGGACGGUGACAAGAUGACGACGGGAGGGCGAGGGGAGGGCAAUGCACCCACGAGGAUUCUGCCUCUCUCGCUCGUCUGCCCGAUUUCAUUCAGCCAAGUUUUUUUUUUUCUCUCUCUCUAAAUUAAUAGUAUGCCACGUGGCAUACUACGGGACAUGCCACGUCAGGCAGUCAUCUGCAGCGGUACUGUGCAAACUGCACAGUAGCACCACCCUUAAUUCGUAAUUCUUAUGGAAAAAGCUAAAUCCCUUGCGCGCGAAACCAGCUGGUUGCCACGGAUUUAAUUAAACGUCCCAUCCAUCAAAGUUCAGAACUUUAGCUUUUUUCCUGAGCCUUGCCACAUCUCUAUCGUCUUGAAGUUUCACAUUACACACUCUCUAGUCUAUCAACGGCGCGGGGAAAGGCAGAGAAGAAGCCGGCCGACGAGAAAGUUCCAGCGAAGAAGAAGCAGAAAGCCAAGACGAGAAUACCCAAGGAAGGCGGCGCCGGCGAUCUCAACAGGAAGCACGAAAGUUGGAGAGACGUGAGUGCAAAACCCAGAUUCAGUGUUGGUGGCGAGAGAGAGAAAUGAAAAUUGGUUCGUGAGCGGUGGAGAAAGCUGGAGUUUGUUCGUCGUCUACUUCGUAUUCUCUUUUUCUAUUUUUUUUCUCCAAGUUUUGUUCUGGGCUCAAGAGCAUUUUUCUAUUUUUAAAUUGUACCGCCACGUCAACGAGGGUGUGGAAGGUGUGCGCUAAAUGGACUGCCUGUAGAAGUACUGCCCCCCCAACACUCUCUCUGAGCGAGCCCAAUAAUCUAGAGUCUACAGACGUGAAAAUCUGGUCUCCCUAGGUACGAAUUCAGAUCCUCCUCUCUUUCUCCUUCGCUUCGAAACUCAUUGAUCUGCAAAUGAUCUCCGCUUAAUGAGAGCAUGGUCUCGGCCAGAUUGUGUUCUUAUAAUGUCCACGUUGUUGAUGCCUUCUAAUUACGUAUUACUAUCAUUUUUUGCUCGUAUCUGUGUCAGGCACGCAUGUGUACACGUUAGGAUUUAACUUAUUUAGUUUUAGUUUUUGUAUACGAUAUUAAUUGUUUGGUGCAGUUUCCUGGUGUUCGAUGGGAGGAAUGGUUUCUUGGAUGCAAUUGAAAUCUCCUCAAAAUCGGUCAUUUUCUUGGUCCACUUCGGUUUCUUUGAGAAAAAGAUCAAUUUCAGGCGUUAACUUUGCUACUAAUUUUUGUUCUUUGUUUAUUUCAAACCAUUAACCAGCUGGCUGAUGUUUGUCCCAAUCGUCGCCUGAAUAGAUUCACUUUCGGAACCAAGAUUUUGUUUCGUAGCUCAUCUCACACGAAUAAGUACAUUCCUUUGUGCUUCAUCAUUUGCUCAAAGACUAUGAUUAUGUUGUUUGUCUCAUGCUCUCAGCCAAAAAGAAAGGAAGUUGCUUUUUUCUUGGAAAGCAAUGAAAUUUUAACAGGAAGAAUGACAUUAGGGUCUCUGCAAGGUGCCUAGAUAUUUGGAAGCCCAAGUACGGAAUAUAAAUUGAAGAUGCCGAAGAGGCCAGCCAAGAAGGCUCCAAAGACUCAAGGCCACCAGGAGGUGAAGAGCACAUCCAUCGCACGCCGCAAGUGCUAUAAAGGCAAGGCUGAGGCUUCCGCAUCAAAGCGGAGCAAGGGGUCUAUGGACAGCGAUGACUCCUUUCAUCCAUUUGGACAUUGUGUCACUUUACUGCAAAAGAUUGAGCCCAAGUUGCCGAAUGAUGUUUGGUUACGUGCCUAUGCUGUGCUGCGUGAUUCACGACUUGACCAAGUGGGCUUUUUAAAUAUGGAUGACGAAUGUCGCCGAUUAUGGGCCAUGCAAUUUCUAUAAUUUCGGUAUCUAAAAAUUCUGGGGUGCUUUACUUCUAUUCUAUUGGUCUUUUGAGGUAUAGAGCUGAUCGAUGUAUAUUUCUUUGGUGUAUCCUUUAUUAAUAUGUAAAAUUAACAUGGAAUCUGUGUUUAGUCUGUUAUGCUAUUACUACCAGGUACGUAUAUCUUUUAUGUUAUUUUGAGUGAGCUAGUAUAAUAAUUUUGUAUCAUUGGAAGUAGUCACUAGGGGUGUGCAAAAAAGGCCUUGGGCCGGUCCGUCCGAUGCAACUGAAUUGAGCCCAGCCGACAAAUGUCGGGUUCUUCGGAUCCAAGUCUCCUACGGGUUGAGAGAAACCAAUAUCGGUCGAAACCGAUAGAUCAGCUAUACGCUUUCAGUACACAAGCUCUUCCUCUAAGAGUUUUAGAAACCCUAGCCACCAAUGCACCACGCCGUUCGACUUCACCGUUCGUCUUCGCUGUCCAAGCCAGCGAACACUUUGAAGCAAAUCUCCCAGUUCUUAUAGAAAAUUUGCAGAGAAGAAUUGAGGGAGGCUCAACAUGGCAUACCUUGACUUCUAGUGCUGGAUUCUGCAGGUGCUGAUGUUCCUCUUUUGACUUGUUAUAUCUCUCAGUUACUGCUUUGAUGCUGAUCAAAAUGCUUAGUAUCAGUAGACUUUUCACUGUAAAUAAUGUUGUAUAAAAAUAGAGCAAUCAUGAGACACCAUUGAAUGCGUGAAAAGCACCAUAAUGUAGCUUUAUGAUGAUAUUAAGAUUAGACUGCAUGGCAUGGAUUUUUCUGUUAUCAAGGUGAGAAUAUCUUGUCUUCUUAGAA